rnacentral:lncRNA from 1 species
GGCCUGUGUAAGAAGAUCUGGGAUAAAAUUUUAGUUAUAAAGAUUAAUGACUAACAAUAAGCACUGAAACGGGCCUAUGUUACAAAAGAGGCUACAAGCACAGUCCUACACAUAUCCAACAGGUUCGACCAUUCACAAUAAGAGGAAGGCCAGGAGUCACAACAACCUGAUAACAAGCAAAAGAUGGAUCUCAUAGUCCCAGUACAAGAGCCAAAAUAGAUAUGCCCCCAUUAUGGAAAAACCACGGUAGUAAACCCUACAACAAGCUGACAAAUGGAUGCUUAAGAUAUGGUAGUACUCAAUAUCGGAUCC